UACGGGGGGGGGCAAGCGUUGUUCGGAAUUACUGGGCGUAAAGGGCUCGUAGGUGGCCAACUAAGUCAGACGUGAAAUCCCUCAGCUUAACUGGGGAACUGCGUCUGAUACUGGAUGGCUUGAGUUUGGGAGAGGGACGCGGAAUUCCAGGUGUAGCGGUGAAAUGCGUAGAUAUCUGGAGGAACACCGGUGGCGAAGGCGGCGUCCUGGACCAACACUGACACUGAUGAGCGAAAGCCAGGGGAGCAAACGGGG
rnacentral:rRNA from 1 species